AAUAACUUGUGUGCCGUGUCGCCGCGCCGGCAACUCUUACUUUGUUAACUAAUUUAGUACGUACUACGGAAUAAUGUGAUUAGUACAGCUUUAUAAGCUGGGUUCGUUAGUAAUUAUAAUGUAUUUCGUGAGUUGCUUCAGCAACUGCAGAAAUGGGACUCUCCAAUAAUAAUAUGCUCUGUUUCUACGUGUUAGCCGCCUUCCUAGCGAUCGGCGACUGCACCUUAACCCCCAUAGUACGUCCAUUCUUGUCUCUGCUUAAUGCACCUCUUUCUACCUUGGGCAAUAAUGGAAACCCUUCUCUUUCCUCCUAUCCAUAUUCUGUGUCAUCCGGUCGAUGGGGAGGAGGAAAAAUGGAUACACCAGUCAUCAUACCGAAAGUAACAACUCUCGAUGGCGGUCUAUCGUCAAAAACUCCUGUUGCAAAGGUAAUAAAAACACACCUGAUGAACCCCCAGAUGGACAUGUGGACAAAUAAACCUGAAGAGUCAUAUAGAUAUUUGAAUAAGAUGGGAAAAUACGACGGUGUACCCAAAGUAACGGUUAGUCCUUGGAAAAAAGGAGUCACAGGUUUGAAUAAGGGUUGGUUAAUUGAUGGUUCACGACAAGAAGAUUUGGCAAAAAAACGUGUGAUUGUUACACCAUUGAAAGGCGGAUCCAGAAGAAUGAUGCUGCUCCAAAAGAAUGUUAUGGAUGGUGAUUCAGGAGAAGACGGAGGCUUCUUGAAAUAUGGGUCGAAUGAGCUAGGUUCUAAUGAAGAGUCUUGGAAAACGACUAAAUUUUUAACCCCGACCGCGAUGGAUGGUGAAAACUUGGAACGUGACAUGCCGAAAGAAGACAUGGAACGUAUCGUGAUUAUAGAGAAACCGAUUUCGUCCUGGUCCCACACAUCUCAUAAUCACCUCUGGCGCGGGUACAAAAUUGCAAGAAAUGGCAAAACUGCCUGUCCAUACUGCAACGAAGUAAAUAUGGUUUGAUUUACUGUCCUUACUGAUGUAAUAUUGCGAUAAAAGUUUCAAAUUCAUUCAAGUUGUUAUUAGGCCUUUAUUCAGUUUGAAAAUACAGAUUUUACUUUCGGGUGGA